CCACUACAAUAAUUAUGUUGGUACGCAAAAUUAUUUUUUAAUUGAUGACUACUUAUCAUAUAUAUACUUAAUGUGACAUUUUUAGUGUUCAUAUACAUUAACUUUCAUUUUAGUGGGUAAUUACUCAUCAAUUGAGGUGCUCCUUAAUUGGAGAAAGAUUCUAAAAACAUAACUUUACAGAAAGAAUGAAAACUGCAGUUGCUCUCCCCAAUCUCAAUAGUAUAAAACUACAAAAGCAACAUUUUUUUUUUUUUUUUUAAACCAUUUCAAUAAUUAUGUUGGUACACAUUUUUUUUUAUAGAAGACUACUUAUCAUAUACUAAAUGUCACAUUUUAAAUGUUCACAAACAUUUACUUUGAUUUUAGUGUAAAAUUACUCAUCAAUUGAUGUGCUCCUGAAUUGGAGGAAGAUUCUAAAAACAGAACUUUACAGAAACAAUGAAAACUCCCGUUUCUCUCCCCAAUCUCAUGUAUCCCCAUUGACAUUGUUUACCGCGAAAGUUGACCUACAUAUUAUCUGAUUAUAGCCUCAGAUUCAAGCAUUUCAUGUUGGUGUGUGAAUCAUCUACACUACAGCAAACAUCAUUAGGUUUAUAUUUAACAAAUACGGAUUUUAAAUUAGUAUACAAGUACUGUGAAUGAUUUUUAUAAUGAAUAAAGAAUAUCCCUGUGUAGUGUGGCAUUCCAACAAUGACGUCACUAGGUUAGAUAUAUUUAGAAUAUUUCGUAAUACUGAUUUUUCCGGACUGUAAAAGAAACGUAUAUAGUGUAAGGGAAAGCUCAAUAUACGAUAAUUUCAUGAGAAACAGAAGGGAAAUGUGUAAAAAAUGUAUUUAAAGUCAAUCUGUUCUCCUUGUCAUCAAUUUCAGUAUGACAUUUUGAGGGGGUUUCCAAACUAUCAAAACAAAAUGAUUGACGUGAGGGAAUGAUACUCUGGCCAACCCCAUUAGGGAAUUGACGGCUUGAAGCCGUCUUUCCCCAAAAAACAGGCAAAGUUGGA
rnacentral:lncRNA from 1 species